rnacentral:rRNA from 1 species
GCUUACGACCAUAUCAUGUUGAGAACACCGGUUCUCGUCCGAUCACCGAAGUUAAGCAACAUCGAGCCGAGUCAGUACUUGGGAGGGUGACCACCUGGGAACACUCG